CCUACGGGCGGCAGCAGUGGGGAAUAUUGCGCAAUGGGCGAAAGCCUGACGCAGCGACGCCGCGUGAGGGAUGAAGGUCUUCGGAUCGUAAACCUCUGUCAGCAGGGAAGAACGGUCACUGUGCUAAUCAGCAGUGAAUUGACGGUACCUGCAAAGGAAGCACCGGCUAACUCCGUGCCAGCAGCCGCGGUAAUACGGAGGGUGCGAGCGUUAAUCGGAAUUACUGGGCGUAAAGCGCUCGUAGGCGGUAUGUCAAGUCAAGGGUGAAAUCCCCGGGCUCAACGUGGGAACUGCCUUUGAAACUGGCAGACUGGAGUGUGUGAGAGGAUGGUGGAAUUCCAGGUGUAGGAGUGAAAUCCGUAGAUAUCUGGAGGAACAUCAGUGGCGAAGGCGACUAUCUGGCACAUAACUGACGCUGAGGAGCGAAAGCGUGGGUAGCAAACAGGAUUAGAUACCCUAGUAGUC
rnacentral:rRNA from 1 species